AUUGAACGCUGGCGGAAUGCUUUACACAUGCAAGUCGAACGGCAGCACGGACUUCGGUCUGGUGGCGAGUGGCGAACGGGUGAGUAAUGUAUCGGAACGUGCCCAGUCGUGGGGGAUAACGUAGUGAAAAUUACGCUAAUACCGCAUACGAUCUAUGGAUGAAAGCGGGGGAUCGCAAGACCUCGCGCGAUUGGAGCGGACGAGAUCAGAUUAGGUAGUUGGUGGGGUAAAGGCCCACCAAGCCAACGAUCUGUAGCUGGUCUGAGAGGACGACCAGCCACACUGGAACUGAGACACGGUCCAGACUCCUACGGGAGGCAGCAGUGGGGAAUUUUGGACAAUGGGCGAAAGCCUGAUCCAGCCAUUCCGCGUGCAGGAUGAAGGCCCUCGGGUUGUAAACUGCUUUUGUACAGAACGAAAAGGUUUCUACUAAUACUAGGAGCUCAUGACGGUACUGUAAGAAUAAGCACCGGCUAACUACGUGCCAGCAGCCGCCGCGG
rnacentral:rRNA from 1 species